ensembl:lncRNA
UUUUCAUUGGUUAAAUAUUUGUGGUGAAUUUACAUUGUGAUAUCAGUAAAAUGCUAUGUGAAAAUUUUAGAGAAUACUCCGUUUUGGGUAAUUUUAAUAACCUUUCCCCUCAAGUGGUGGCCUGUUUUCACAUUGAAAAGACUGGAAUUCAUUACCAUCCAUAGCAGGAUUGAUAGGGAAGCAAAAUGGACAGCGACAGUGUUGUUCUCUUUGACAGUUGUGGGAUCCAAGAAAGAAGUGUGACUUGCUUUUUGUGACUUACAAAAUCACGACUGAGUAUCAUUACUGUAGAAGCCCAUGGAAAAAAUGAUGAAGUUUUCAGAAAUCACCAGUUAAAGAAAUGGUGGUUUUGUUUAUAUUGAAUUCUGAGUUUCAAAGUUAUGUUUCAUUUUUCUUUAUUCCUUAAUGAGGCUUUUUAUUAAGUUUUAUUCACAAUUAAAUCCUUAGAUGCACAGUGCUAGGAUUGUAGUAGGUGCUCAAUAAAUCACUGACCAUUGGGGAGGAGGAAUGAUAAGAAAUAUGUAUUUUCUGUAAGUUCUGUUAGUCUUGGGAACAGGUGGUUUUAGGUUUAUCAGUCAUAGCUUGGUAUCUUGUCCCACAUAAGACAACUUGACAGAACCCCCUUUCUGGCCAUUAUGUUCAACUUAUUUUUCUCUUAAUCAUUCUUGAAAAUCAUGGAAGUAGUGUGGAAAAUUGAUUGUACCUGCAGUAUAGCAAAAGAGGCCAGUCUAGAUAGGUAAGCAGUUAAGUUUCUCCAUGAGGUGAUUUCUUAAAACAUCUAGACUUUAGGAAUUUAGUGUUGUGUUUUCUAAAGAUACAUCGUACAGCAUACAGAUAACAUCGUAAUAGAAUAAAGGAAUCUUUUGAUUUAGCACCAAAUUCCAUAAAGUAAUGACUACUGCACAGCUCUCUUGGCCAUAUGAAUAGCAGAAAUUAUAAUUCACUUUUUUAAAGAAAUAAUGAAAGUACUUAAUCUUAAGCAAAGCCCAUGGGAACAGUUUGCUGUGGUGUUUCUCUUUGGUUUCUUGUGCUCUUUCUAGAGGACGACUUUAAGAAGUCAGUGCAGUCAGGUGGUCAUGGUGGUCAGGCAGUCAUGAGCAGAUGGUUAAGCGAUGUGCUAGGGCCCCAUAGGCCAGUGAGCCCAACCGAAGAGCAGAGGCUAGCCAGUGAGCCUGACUGAAGAUCAGCGGCUAGGCAGUCAUGAGCAGAUGGUUAAGCGAUAUGCUAGGGCCCCAUAGGCCAGUGAGCCCAGCUGAGAAGCAGAGUCUAGCCAGUGAGCCUAACUGAAUAGCAGAG